rnacentral:tRNA from 1 species
GCGCGGGUGGCGAAAUUGGCAGACGCGUACGCUUGAGGUGCGUAAGCCGAGAGGCGUGGGGGUUCAAGUCCCCCCCCGCGCA